CGGCAAUGGAGGAAACUCUGAUCGAGCAACGCCGCGUGAACGAUGAAGUAUUUCGGUACGUAAAGUUCUUUUAUUAGGGAAGAAUAAAUGAUGGAAAAAUCAUUCUGACGGUACCUAAUGAAUAAGCCCCGGCUAACUAUGUGCCAGCAGCCGCGAUAAUACAUAGGGGGCAAGCGUUAUCCGGAAUUAUUGGGCGUAAAGGGUGCGUAGGCGGUUAAAUAAGUUUAUGGUCUAAGUGCAAUGCUCAACAUUGUGAUGCUAUAAAAACUGUUUAGCUAGAGUAAGAUAGAGGCAAGUGGAAUUCCAUGUGUAGUGGUAAAAUGCGUAAAUAUAUGGAGGAACACCAGUAGCGAAGGCGGCUUGCUGGGUCUUUACUGACGCUGAGGCACGAAAGCGUGGGGAGCAAACAGGAUUAGAUACCCUGGUAGUCCACGCCGUAAACGAUGAGUACUAAACGUUGGGUAAAACCAGUGUUGAAGUUAACACAUUAAGUACUCCGCCUGAGUAGUACGUACGCAAGUAUGAAACUUAAAGGAAUUGACGGGACUCCGCACAAGCGGUGGAUCAUGUUGUUUAAUUCGAAGGUACCCGAAAAACCUCACCAGGUCUUGACAUGCUUCUGCAAAGCUGUAGAAACACAGUGGAGGUUAUCAGUUGCACAGGUGGUGCAUGGUUGUCGUCAGCUCGUGUCGUGAGAUGUUGGGUUAAGUCCCGCAACGAGCGCAACCCUUAUUGUUAGUUACCAGCACGUAAUGGUGGGGACUUUAGCAAGACUGCCAGUGAUAAAUUGGAGGAAGGUGGGGACGACGUCAAAUCAUCAUGCCCCUUAUGACCUGGGCUACAAACGUGAUACAAUGGCUGUUACAAAGGGUAGCUGAA
rnacentral:rRNA from 1 species